ensembl:lncRNA
CUAGUCUGCUGUAUAUAUCUAUGGUCGGCACGUCUGGUAGCAUCUCUGACUGCUGUUGAUCUUGUUUUUGGAGUAAAACACGGUGGAAGCUGAAUUAGUGAGGAUGACUCCUGCUCCUGUCAUCUCUAAGCUCCUCACACAUCUUUACCUGCACAUGAGGAAAAUCACUCCUGUAGAAUGCAGUGGUUCAUCAGAACCUCUGGGGAUGUCCUGUGGAUCCUGUGGGUUGCAGGGUGGGUCCUACCUAGACCAGGCUGAUCCUGGACCAUCCCACAGAUGCUCCAUCAGAUCUGGAUGUGGGGAGUGUGGAACCCAGAUGUUCAGAGGGAGAUGAUGCCACAUCUGGUCCAGCUGAUGGAAGGUCUUGAAGUUCUCUGACUGGCCUGGACUGAAGAUGGUCGUCUCACUGGAUUUAAGGUUCAGAUGCUCAGUAACAAACUCCACCAAUGUGCCAACAGGGAAGCUUUAGGUUUAUUAAAUGUUGCUAUGAAGGUUUCGCUGUUUUUCUUUGUGGAUGCAAUGUGCUCCAACUGAAACUUGAAUUAGAACUUAGAAGUAAAUCCUUCCAUCUGACAGGAUUUAGUUGCAUUAAUAACCUCAUAACAUUCUAAUUUUUAUUCCAGUCUUGGUUGGAAAUAGAAUCUCUGUAUUGAUUCAGGUAAAAACUGAACUUCACAGCAUGUUGGAGCAAAACAACCAGAUGAAAACUGUGAUGGUGUUGGAUUGUCAGACCGUAAUGUUGCAGCUCAAAGCAGCUUUUCUAUCUCAGUUCAUUCUGACAUUCAGCUAUGAAUCAACACAGCAGAUGGUGAUCCAUGCUGUGGAAGUCUCACAUCUCCUGAUUUAAUGGAGCUGCUUUACACUUUUUACACUGUUUAUUCACCAACACUUUAUUUAAUAAAAGUCCCAUCUAGUUUUUCAUGAGGAAUGUGAUGUUUUAAUUUCUCUGUGAAUAACUGCAGUCUAAUGGAACAGCUGGAGUUGUAACAUCUGUCCUGAUAUUGAUCAUGAAGUAUUGAUCAGAAUACUUAUGGUCAGCAGUCAUCCCUGAAGUUUUACAUUAAAAUCUUUACUUGUGUUGUGAACUUUGGUAAGAAGCAGAAACUUUAGCGUUGCCAUGGAUACAGGAGUGUUAAAUUCUGUCCAUGUUUCCAUUUUGGGAAAUUCAGUCCAGUUCCAGAAUGUGGAGGAAUUUAGUCUCACAAUCACAGACAACAAAUAUUAUCUGAAAGUCGAGUCAUUGUUGUUUAUCAGCACAAUACAAAAAGAUUAAUGUUAGAAAUAUUCCAGUUAAGACUCUAGAAUAUCAUGAUUUAUGUAAAUUUACCUCGAUAAUCUGAAUGUUCAGGUUAAGAUUGUACAGUGAUAUUUAUUAUGUAAGUUUAGCUGAUUAAAGUUUAUUAUUUAUUAUUUAAAUUGACAUCAUUAUUAUAAUAUUUAGGGUCAGACCCUACAGGAUUGAGAUUAAGAAAUCAAAUAUUCUAUAAAAUGUAAAUACACUG